ensembl:piRNA 21ur-3766 ncRNA
UGGAAGCUUGAUGGAAAAUGC